CCUACGGGAGGCAGCAGUGGGGAAUAUUGCACAAUGGGGGAAACCCUGAUGCAGCAACGCCGCGUGAGUGAAGAAGUUAUUCGGAUUGUAAAGCUCUAUUAGCAGGGAAGAAAAUGACGGUAUCUGAGUAAGAAGCCCCGGCUAACUACGUGCCAGCAGCCGCGGUAAUACGUAGGGGGCAAGCGUUAUCCGGAUUUACUGGGUGUAAAGGGAGCGUAGGCGGGAGUGUAAGUCUGAAGUGAAAGGCUGGGGCUCAACCCCCGGACUGCUUUGGAAACUGUACGGCUGGAGUGCAGGAGAGGUAAGUGGAAUUCCUGGUGUAGCGGUGAAAGGCGUAGAUAUUAGGAGGAACACCAGUGGCGAAGGCGGCUUACUGGACUGUAACUGACGUUGAGGCUCGAAAGCGUGGGGAGCAAACAGGAUUAGAUACCCGUGUAGUC
rnacentral:rRNA from 1 species